ACCACUCCUCUCGCAAAAUAUGUCUUUCAUACAUCUCAACCGCGACCUCUCUCCCUACUACAUCUUCAUCUUCAAUUCUUCAUCUGAAUUCAUCUGUGUCUUAAUUUCGAUCUUCAUUAUCUUGGAGACAUGGCUGUUGCUGCUUAUGCAUCCUUGGUUUCUCUCACUCAUGUCCUCGAAAAUCUCCACUAUCGUGCCCAAUUUCAUAUCCCUCGUGCUGACAUCCAUCAAGUCGAAUCUCUCCAGGAAAAUGUCAAUUCCUUGCUGGAAUUUGUCGAGCUUCAUUCCGAAAAGAAGAUCCCGGAGCUUCAAGGUUUGUGGAGGAAAAUGGCAGAGGCUGCCGCUGAAGCAGAAACUGACAUCAACUUCCAUGUAGGCAAUCUACUCUAUGCCAAAUUUCAAGGAGAAACGAGUGAUACUUCAAACUUCUCAGCAUUCUGUGAUGAAAUGGAGACACUGAUCCAAAAGUUUUGUUCCAUUCAAAAAGAGUUUCCGGUGAUCGAAGAAGAGGGGGAGGAUGCUCAAGCCCAAAAGCAAUCCAAUUAUGAUUCUGUUGCUGCUGGUGGUUCGUCUGCAGCUGCUUCAUAUGUCAGCAAUGUUGUGGUUGGACUGGAUGAGCAUGUGAACAGGAUAAGGGACAACCUCGUCAGAGGUAGAUCUAAUCUUGAAAUCCUUCCGGUUGUCGGUAUGGGAGGUAUUGGUAAGACCACUCUCGCUAAAAGUCUCUUUGAAGAUUCAUUUGUUGUCGACCACUUUGAUUUACGCAUCUGGCUUACUAUAUCGCAAGAAUAUAGUGCUGAACAAAUCCUUAAAGUUGGUCUCGAAGGAAAGGCAGGAGAAAACGAAAUAUGUGAAAGUUUAGAUGAGUUGGGAACUAGAUUCUACCAAAAAUUAUUCGGUAGAAGGUACUUGAUUGUUAUGGAUGACAUGUGGUCAAGAGGAGCUUGGGAUGAUUUACGGAGGUAUUUUCCUGACAAUGAGGAUGGAAGUCGUAUUUUGUUGACGACUAGACUCUCAAACAUGGCUACUUCUUUGGGUACUCGUGAUCCCUAUCUAUUAACAUUUUUAGAUGAGAAAGAAAGUUGGAGUUUAUUCUGUCAAAAUGCUUUUUCUCAAAAUGGUUGUCCAUACAGUCAUUUAGAGAAGUUUGCAAAGGACAUUGCAAAAAGUUGUAGAGGGCUUCCUUUGGAAAUUGUUGUUGUUGGUCGAUUUCUUGCGAAUUCUGACAUGACUGUAAAAUAUUGGGAGAAUAUUGUAAAUAACUUUAGCUCGCUUGCUAAUUUGGGAUAUGAUGAGCAUUGUCGGAAAGUAUUAUCUCUAAGUUAUGAGAGUUUACCCAUUCAUCUCAAACCAUGUUUUUUAUAUUUGAGAGUUUUUCGUGAAGAUAGUGGGAUUGUAGUCUCAGAGCUAAUCAACUUUUGGAUUGCUGAAGGAUUCAUUAAAUCAAAGAGAUAUAGAAGUUUGGAAGAUAUUGCACAGGAGUAUGUAGAAAGUCUCUUAGACAGAAAUCUAAUAUACAGUUGGGCUGGAUUACGUUUGUGUGGCAUUCAUGAUCUUUUACGGGAUAUCUGUUUAAGAGAAUCUGAAAAUGAAUGUUUUCUCCAAUUUCCUAGAAGGCAAAGAGUUCAAAGAUGGUUUGUAGGAGAUGUGCGCUGUAAUCUUUGUCAAGAAAGACUCAAGGACAAAGAAGGAAUUCAUAUAGUGCGACCAUUUUAUGUAUUUGGAUUAUCGUCACAAGUUAAUCCUCUUGUAUGCGAUGCUUGUAGGAUGGUGUAUUCGCAUAUUAAAAGACAUAAUUUAGUAAAGAAUGCAAAUUACAAUGAUGGUUUGGACACAGAAAUUUUGCAGCCAAUAGAAUUGCGUUGUGUUGAUAUACUGGUGAUGGAACCAUUCUCUCCUUCAACAUUACUUUGGAAUCUUCAAAGGUUAAGCAUUUCAAUCCCAACUACAGAUUUAUCUAUAGAGAUAUGGGAGAUGCCACAACUAAGAGAGAUUCGAUGUCUACACGGAAGAGUUCAUCUACCAGAUCCUAUAGCCACUGUAUUUGAGGGGGAAGAUUUUAUUAUCCUGAAGGACCUUCACACCUUAGAUGGAAUGCGUAAUUUCAAUUGUUCCAAACAAGUCAUUGAUCGGAUCCCAUAUUUGAAGGAGUUGGACGUUGAUUAUGAAGAUGGAUCUAAGAGGGGUGUGAAACAGCUGAACUAUUCUCUAUGUAAUCUUGAGCAACUACAGAAACUUGAAUUUCUAUGUAUAAGAGAAUGCUUGGAGAAGAUGACCUUCGCUAAUUCCCUCAAGGAAUUGCGUUUGAUCAAUUGCAGAAUGGCAUGGGAAGAUAUGUCGAUUCUUGGUUUGCUGCCGAGUCUUGAAACACUUGAGAUAUCUGGUGGCGUGCCGAGGUUAGUGUGGGAGCCUGUUCAAGGGGAAUUUCUUCGCCUGAAAGAAUUGGACAUUGCCUAUAAUGAUUUAAUGUUUUGGAGAGCAGAAUCGGUGCACUUCCCUAUUCUUGAGAAGCUUCAACUUAAUAAUUUACGUUUAUUGGAGGAGAUCCCUUCAGGAAUUGGAGAUAUACCGACACUGAAAUCAAUUGGUGUGAAAGAAUGCAGUGAGUCUGCUGUUGAUUCGGCAAAGGAAAUAUGGGUGGAGCAACAUGAGUUUGGAAAUGAGAUUAGAAUUGAUAUUACUGAUAGAUAUGGGGUCGAAUAUCAAAUUGGUACUUUCACUGCAAGAAUGACAAGGGCUGCUUGCCAUUCCUUGGCUUAUUCAAAACGUCUUUCGGAAAGACUCGAGAAGGUUGUUCAGGACGGCCGCCACGCUCUAAACACAAAACAAAUGGUAGCUGUGGAGGAAGUCAUCCAUAUUUUCAAGGACUUUGUUGAACUUUAUCACCUAAAAAAAAGCCAAGAAAUGGAAAGUUUGGCAAGAGAAAUGGCCCAGGCUACCCAUAAAGCAGAGGUUGUGAUCCACAGGCUACGCUCGGAAACUUUGAUGCCUAUACUUGGUAAGUGCGUCCGUGAAGAUGUGGAAAGGCUGUUGGAAAAGAUAGACUUCAUAAGAAAGUCGUUGUCAGUGGCUAAAGAGGAAGGGCAAGAAAACGAACAAAUUGAUGAUGUCGUUGCCGAUAAUGAAGCCACUUCCUAUGAUAUCAACUCACUGCGAACUUGGAGGGAACUUCCUAACAAGGAUGAAGAUCUGAGAGAAUAUCAAAUUGGUUCUGUCACGGCAACAAUGACGGAGUCUGCUAGUUUAAUCUGGUCUGAUUUAGCAUGCCUACUGGAGGUCCUCCGAAAGGCUUCUGAACUCGGUCGUCAUCAUCUAAACACAAAGCUAAUAGAAAAUGUCGACGAAUCCAUCAGUGUCCUGCAAGAUGUUGUUGAAGUUCAUCCUCAAAUUAUACUCCAGCACACCGGAGAUAUUUAUGAAGUGGACAUGUUUUCUCUUGUCAACGUAGCAGAGCAUCUGAAUUCGAAUCAUCUUGGGCGACAAUCUCUGAAAGAUGCAACUAAUGAAGAAAUCUUAUCCUUCUCUGGUUAUGUGGAAUGGUUUUUGAUAACUUUUAAAACCACCAAAGAAUGUUUGAAAGGUAUUAAUGGAAGACAACUCAACUCGACUCACUCGCAAGCAGAAGAAUCAACUGAUGAAGCCAUAUAAUUAUCUGCACAAAAUGGUGAUUGUUAGCAAUACUUUUCACGUGGGAAAACAUAGUUUAGGAGAAGUUGGAGUUGUCUUCAUAUUGGGUAAAGACUUUAUUCUGAUUUUAAGUUCAUCAAAGACUCACCAUUUUCAUCAUCAACAUCAGUAAGAAGUUUUGCAAUAGCCAUAUUCUCCUUAAGUUUAUCCCUCAGAGUGGGAGAAGUCUACAACAAAAAAAGCAACACAUAUAUGUCAUAUCAAAGCAUAAUGUCAAACCAAGAAUAUACCUGCAACAAUAACAAUAACACGUGAUGCAUAGAUGCUGAUAGAAUAGGUAAUCAAUCAAACCUUUUAUAUAUUUUGUAUCUAAUGCUAUUGUGGUAGUUUCUAAAGAAAUUGUCUCACAGUUGCUAUCCAAACAAUGAAAUUAACU